GCGCGAAAACUUUACACUGCGGGAAACCGCGAUAAGGGGAUACUGAGUGCCAGCAUCUUAUGUUGGCUGUCCGCAUGUAUAAAUAGCAUGUGUUAGCAAGGGCCGGGCAAGACCGGUGCCAGCCGCCGCGGUAACACCGGCGGCCCGAGUGGUGGCCACUAUUAUUGGGUCUAAAGGGUCCGUAGCCGGUUUGAUCAGUCUUCCGGGAAAUCUGACAGCUCAACUGUUAGGCUUCCGGGGGAUACUGUCAGACUUGGGACCGGGAGAGGUAAGAGGUACUACAGGGGUAGGAGUGAAAUCUUGUAAUCCUUGUGGGACCACCAGUGGCGAAGGCGUCUUACCAGAACGGGUCCGACGGUGAGGGACGAAAGCUGGGGGCACGAACCGGAUUAGAUACCCGGGUAGUCCCAGCCGUAAACGAUGCUCGCUAGGUGUCUGGGAUGGUGCGACCGUUUCAGGUGCCGCAGGGAAGCCGUGAAGCGAGCCACCUGGGAAGUACGGCCGCAAGGCUGAAACUUAAAGGAAUUGGCGGGGGAGCACUACAAC
rnacentral:rRNA from 1 species